AGGCUGCAACCCGCCUGCAUGAAGCCGGAAUCGCUAGUAAUCGCGGAUCAGAAUGCCGCGGUGAAUACGUUCCCGGGUCUUGUACACACCGCCCGUCACACCAUGGGAGUCGAUAACGCCCGAAGUCAGUGACCCAACCGAAAGGAGGGAGCUGCCGAAGGCGGGAUGGAUAACUGGGGUGAAGUCGUAACAAGGUAAC
rnacentral:rRNA from 1 species